GGCCCGGUGGUGUAACGGUAGCACGAGAGGUUCUGAUCAAGUGUUCUCCUCUAAACCAGGGUUCGAUUCCCUGCCAGGCCU
rnacentral:tRNA from 1 species